rnacentral:rRNA from 1 species
GACGAACGCUGGCGGCGUGCCUAAUACAUGCAAGUCGAGCGGACGGAUGGGAGCUUGCUCCCAGACCGUCAGCGGCGGACGGGUGAGUAACACGUGGGCAACCUGCCUGUAAGACUGGGAUAACUCCGGGAAACCGGGGCUAAUACCGGAUAACUCUUUCCCUCACAUGAGGGAAAGCUGAAAGAUGGCAUCUCGCUAUCACUUACAGAUGGGCCCGCGGCGCAUUAGCUAGUUGGUGAGGUAACGGCUCACCAAGGCGACGAUGCGUAGCCGACCUGAGAGGGUGAUCGGCCACACUGGGACUGAGACACGGCCCAGACUCCUACGGGAGGCAGCAGUAGGGAAUCUUCCGCAAUGGACGAAAGUCUGACGGAGCAACGCCGCGUGAGUGAUGAAGGUUUUCGGAUCGUAAAACUCUGUUGUCAGGGAAGAACAAGUACCGGAGUAACUGCCGGUACCUUGACGGUACCUGACCAGAAAGCCACGGCUAACUGCGUG